GAAAUGGUGUCUUUAGACACCACUGAUAUUCUUUGAUUAUUUCUCU
rfam:Picea glauca, whole genome shotgun sequence.